GCGAGUCGCGGGCCUCUCCCGCGCUUUCAGCCGGAACCUUCGGGUGUCUGAUCCGGUGGCUCCUUUGGAAUAUUUCGUUCUGAUUCAGAAGUCCGAGUAUCUUCUUAGACUGCUCAGAUUCCUGGAAAGUGCAGGUGAAUAAACUGAAUCACAGGUAAAGGAGGAAAAUCUUGUUCCCAGUCUAACUCUAGAGUUGCAAAAUUUCAAAAAAUUAACUACUGGCUUUUGCAAAGUGGGCUCCAGUAUACCACUGCCUGGGAAUAAGCAAGAUAUUUCAAGGAA